rnacentral:rRNA from 1 species
UACAGAGGUCGCAAGCGUUGUUCGGAUUCAUUGGGCGUAAAGGGUGCGUAGGUGGCGCCGUAAGUCGGGCGUGAAAUUUCGGAGCUUAACUCCGAAACUGCAUUCGAUACUGCGGUGCUUGAGGACUGGAGAGGAGACUGGAAUUCAUGGUGUAGCAGUGAAAUGCGUAGAGAUCAUGAGGAAGACCAGUGGCGAAGGCGGGUCUCUGGACAGUUCCUGACACUGAGGCACGAAGGCCAGGGGAGCAAACGGG